rnacentral:rRNA from 1 species
GAUGAACGCUGGCGGCGUGCCUAAUACAUGCAAGUCGAGCGAACAGACGAGGAGCUUGCUCCUCUGACGUUAGCGGCGGACGGGUGAGUAACACGUGGAUAACCUCCCUAUAAGACUGGGAUAACUUCGGGAAACCGGAGCUAAUACCGGAUAAUAUAUUGAACCGCAUGGUUCAAUAGUGAAAGACGGUUUUGCUGUCACUUCUAGAUGGAUCCGCGCCGCAUUAGCUAGUUGGUAAGGUAACGGCUUACCAAGGCAACGAUGCGUAGCCGACCUGAGAGGGUGGUCGGCCACACUGGAACUGAGACACGGUCCAGACUCCUACGGGAGGCAGCAGUAGGGAAUCUUCCGCAAUGGGCGAAAGCCUGACGGAGCAACGCCGCGUGAGUGAUGAAGGUCUUCGGAUCGUAAAACUCUGUUAUUAGGGAAGAACAAAUGUGUAAGUAACUAUGCACGUCUUGACGGUACCUAAUCAGAAAGCCACGGCUAACUACGUG